GUCGCCUGCAUCUAAACGAGGGAGGGGUUCUGAGGACCCCAGAGCCGCCGCCCCCCUGCCUCAAACCUGGAGACUGAGAGCCCCAGCCCCCAGCCCCGGCCCCAGCCCACCACCUCCCACACCCCUGCACCACUUCCGGACCCCCACGCCUCAGAGCAGGCGCCCCCAGGUCCACGCCCCCGUGGCAGUGGCAGGCAAGUCAGGUCUGGCCCCAGCCCGCAGAGCCACGGGCGCCCUCUGACCUGGCUGUUCCUGCGUCUGCUCACCCGUCCAGGAUGAUCUCACCCGGAGCCCGAAUGCCUCCUUCAUGCUGCAGUUCUGCAGUAUCGAAUGCAAGCUCCUCAAAGCCUGAGAGCCGCCUGUGCACUCACGUUCUCUGCGCCCCCACUCUGACCUCCUGUGAGGACACCCACGUGCUCCAAGGCCGUUGUCACAUGUCCACUCCGUGUCCUGGGGCUCCGUCUCCACACGCCCAGCACCAGGCAGAACGUGGGGACUACGCACAGGUCGUCAGCACAGAUGCGGACACGUGGACGGGUCCGGCCAGAGGGCGGACAGCCGCGAGGCCACACGGGGGCCUGAAGCCCUGAUGCCCGCCGCGACCAGGAUAGACCUCGAGAGCGUGCGGAGGGAGAGAAGCCAGGCACAGAGCCCGCGCGUGGUGGGAUUCCACGCGUGUGAAACAUUCAGAGACACACGCGGGCCGGCGGUCCUGGGGGGCUGGGGGUGGGGCGUGCGUGCUUUGUGAGCACAACUUCCUUUGGGGGGAAGCCCGUGUUCUGGAACCCCCCAGCACUGCAGGCAUACCGAAUGCCGCUGAGCUCUUCACCUGAAACCGGUUACAG
rnacentral:lncRNA from 1 species